AAGCACUCUGACUGCCCAGCCUGAUGGCCUGACCACCACGCUGCAGGAUUGUGUCCCUUUUGCUUGUGUGUGACAUCUCUCUUUUUCAGAGCUAGGCUCACACUUGAAAUAGACUUCCUCAAGGGCCUGGACUGGAGUGAUUUUGGUCACUGAAAUGCUUCAUGCUUUGAAGAGACUGCUAUGGUACUUGCUAGAAGAUUCUUACUGCUGGAACAAACCCGAUGGAAAUAUUUAAUGCAUGACAUUAUUUAUCUUUAGAUAGCAGUGGAAAUGGGUCUGUGCAACGCUCAGAAGUAAGAAAUGUAAUUAUGUAAAGCUGCUCCAGGUAAGUGUUAUUUACAGAUGGCUGAAAAAAUUUGGAUUACAAUCAUUUGCCAAGAAUAACCUCCCUCUCUUCACUCUUGGCCAAGAGGUGGUUUUGGUUGUCAUCAAGGUAAGCUGCAGAUUGUAUACUCCCAUCUGCAUCUUUUUGCCCAUUUUGACUGUUUUCUUUCUUUGUGAUUUUUUAAAUGGUAGCCCUGCAGGCACUGUGCA